rnacentral:rRNA from 1 species
GAUGAACGCUGGCGGCGUGCCUAAUACAUGCAAGUCGAGCGAACGGACGAGAAGCUUGCUUCUCUGAUGUUAGCGGCGGACGGGUGAGUAACACGUGGAUAACCUACCUAUAAGACUGGGAUAACUUCGGGAAACCGGAGCUAAUACCGGAUAAUAUUUUGAACCGCAUGGUUCAAAAGUGAAAGACGGUCUUGCUGUCACUUAUAGAUGGAUCCGCGCUGCAUUAGCUAGUUGGUAAGGUAACGGCUUACCAAGGCAACGAUGCAUAGCCGACCUGAGAGGGUGAUCGGCCACACUGGAACUGAGCCACGGUCCAGACUCCUACGGGAGGCAGCAGUAGGGAAUCUUCCGCAAUGGGCGGAAGCCUGACGGAGCAACGCCGCGUGAGUGAUGAAGGUCUUCGGAUCGUAAAACUCUGUUAUUAGGGAAGAACAUAUGUGUAAGUAACUGUGCACAUCUUGACGGUACCUAAUCAGAAAGCCACGGCUAACUACGUG